UUUAUCAUCUUCUAAACCCUAAUACCUAAAUCACAUUCUUCACUUCUUCUUCACCACAUUGAUACCUUCCCACCACUUCCCUCCAUCAUCGUCUUGAACGCCAACGCCACCCACUCCAUCGCCCACAUCCGCUUCCAACCAACCUCCACCUCCAUCACCACUUCCCCGUCGCUGGUUCCGACCACCACGGCCUCACCCGUCUUCUCCAGCCAUACCGGAACCACUACACACCACCGUUCGCCCUCACCUUCGCCGCCGAUCUCCGACAUCAGCUGCAAAACCAGUGAACACACAUGGAGAUUGAAAAGACGUCCACUUUCAGCUGGAGACUUGACAGACAUCCGUAGAAGAUGAGAAGCAGGUUAAUAUACGAUAUUGUAGAUAUGUAGCGACACCUACUACAAAGACCAGGCUGCUGUCGGCGAUGACAGUGGAAGACGGCGUCGGGAUAGUCGUUUGGCUAGAACGGGUGACAAUAGUCUCAAAUUAGGAGGAAUGUUGAAGGUAGACCAGUAAAAACUCUAGGAACAGUAUAAGUUUUGGACAAAAACUGAAUGUUAAUUACGGUUCUGCCAUCUUCUUGGUAUAAGGAACAUACCUUGCCGGCGACAUCCCCCCUCAAACUCCUUUUGCGAAACAACGCCGUCUAGCAACAAUGACCAAUACCUCUCCACCCAAAAUCGACGACGCCGGCAACAUAACCACCACCAAAUCGAAGGCUUUUGUAAGGCGACAGGACUCCAGCAGAAGCCCAUCUAGCAACACCAAUCAACACAGCUCUGCUCAAAAUUGACGCCCUAAACCCAACCACCAACAAAUCGAAGCCUUUCGUCAGGCGAUUAGGACUCCAGCAGCACUAAAGCUAAAGAUACCCAAACCGGCAGGAUCGUUUGCUUGCUUGAACAGUUUUCGUACCAAAAAACCAACCCGACUCAUGCUUUCUGGAAUACAAGGAACACUAAAGGAUUAAGCUACAAAACAUAAUCAGACCUGUUUGCUUUUGCGAGCAAUAUGGAGUACUGUUAUUUUUGUGUAAAGGAUGUCAUGUAGAACUAUAUUUGAAAAUCUGAGCUAUACAACAAUCUUGAUUCGC